rnacentral:rRNA from 1 species
AGGCCUUCGGGUCGUAAAGCGCUUUUCUGAGAGAUGAGAAAGGACAGUAUCUCAGGAAUAAGUCUCGGCUAACUACGUGCCAGCAGCCGCGGUAAAACGUAGGAGGCGAGCGUUAUCCGGAUUCACUGGGCGUAAAGCGCGUGCAGGCGGUUCGGUAAGUUGGGCGUGAAAUCUCUCGGCUUAACUGGGAGAGGUCGUUCAAUACUACCGGGCUAGAGAGUGGUAGAGGAAGAUGGAAUUCCCGGUGUAGUGGUGAAAUGCGUAGAUAUCGGGAGGAACACCAGUGGCGAAAGCGAUCUUCUGGACCAUUUCUGACGCUCAGACGCGAAAGCUAGGGUAGUAAACGGGAUUAGAGACCCCGGUAAUCCUAGCCAUAAACGAUGUAAACUUGGCGUUGGUGGCUUAAACUCCAUCAGUGCCGCAGCAAACGCGAUAAGUUUACCGCCUGGGGACUACGAUCGCAAGAUUA